CGGUAUCCAGGAAAACCAGCGCCCGCGGCCGCUUGUUUGCAGUCCUCCCUCCCGUAUAUAUCAACCCGCCCACCACACCUCCACCCCAAACAGGCAAACACACAACACAACCAACCACCUCACUCGAUCUCUCAUCACUCGCAAGUCCAGCGAUCACCAACCAGAGCUCGGCUCCAAGCCUCCAACUCCAACCCAAGGAGACAGAUACGUUCGCAGAUGGCGGGUGCAGCGAAGGCGUCGUGGAUGGUGGCCAUGAGCGUGGGCGCCGUGGAGGCGCUCAAGGACCAGGGUGGCCUCUGCCGCUGGAACUACGCGCUGCGGUCCGUCCACCGCACCGCCAAGGCCAACGUCCGCAGCAGCCUCGCCGCGCAGCGGGACAAGGAGCUGGCCCCGGCGGCGGAGUCGAAGAGGCGGCCGGGCAAGGCCGCCGCGGAGGAGGGGAUGAGGACCGUCAUGUACCUCAGCUGCUGGGGACCCAACUAGGAGGACUAGCUAGGGUUCACUGUUCAGUUCAUUGCUGGUGCUGGGUUCAGUUCAGACCUGGCUGGCCGGUUGCCUCCUGCGAUUGUAAAAUAGGAAUACGGUCACGACGAUGAAUGAUGAUGACGAUGAAAAGUUCUGCCACUGUAUGUUUCAGGCCUGUGGGCUCAAAACAAGAAUUCGGUGGUGCUUGAUGGCUGAAACAUCCAUAUCCAUGUGCUGGAACAUAACAGUCGGUGAUGCCAAGCAUGAAAUGGCAAUCUCACUCAGGUCGUGGGAUCUGCUCUCUAAUGACCGGUACAACCGAGACUGUGUUUCAGCUCAGUUCCUGCUGAUGGUUCGUUCAUCAGAGGUCAAUUUCAGUCCGCUAUGCGUGAAGCUUUCACUGUCCACGUUACGUUAGUCAACCGUGAUCAUCGUCCAAAAGGAAACUGUUCGUCAUCUCCGACUCCGAGGUUCAGGGACAAACUGUGCUUCUGCAAAGUGGGGUUCAGUUUCGCUAUAGGUUCUACUUUGUUCCUUCCUAUAAACAGCUAAACAAGCCCUAAAUAGGGAUUUCUCUCUCUCAGGCUCACGAAUAGCAAGGUUCUCGGCGGUAUCAUAAUAAGUCCCUUAUCAACCUACAAUUUCACUUUAUCGUGGACGCUUAACCAUGAUAGUUUGUAUUUGCUAGUCUAUUGUCUAGAGAACCAAACAUCCCACUGCCGCCAGUUUGGUGGGACGUCAUUGACUCUGAUUGUCCUGGAACCACACCCUAUCCUGAGCAGUAUACCCUAAAUAAAAUGCAAUAACAGUCUUUGAACUUGUCAUACUGUGUUAUUUAAGACCUCGAACUCAGAUAACUAGAAACGGCUCUUAUAACCUGGUCAGUCCACGUAAAGCUAUCCAAAAUUGGAUUUAUUCAAACCCGGAUAUAGCGUGGCACGUUGGAGCACACUAACAAAAGUUCGAAACUUAGGUCACACAACAUAUGCUAAAUUGGAGGGGCCCAAGUGACUCUAAUGUUGCAUGCUAUGUUGGCGUCCGGUUUAACCAAACCCGUUUUCUAACCGUUGUUUGGUGAUUCGCCAAGUUUCACCACUUUUUUUUGGGCUUUAAGAGUUUGAAAACCCAAAUAACAUAACAUGAUAAAUUUAAGUACCGCUCAUGUAUUUUACUGAUAUAUCCUCCUUGGGAUGGGAUGGGAUAGGAUGGGAAUUAAACGUUAACUAUACUACCAUAGUGUUACGCUAAAGUGUUUGCGCAUUCCCAUGAGCAAACGCUCCAAAGGAUAAGCCAGUGGUAUCAAGGAAAACCAUGUGCUGUGGCAGUGUGGCACCAGUCUGGAAACGUCACUCUCACCCGCCUCACGCUCACAGAUCUGCAGGCCAUGUGGUGUAAUGUAACAGUAACAAUCUGCAGCCAUUAACCCAUGUGAUUCAGCGUGUUAAAGAUGGAUUAUCCUAAUAGGCAACGACGAUCACGAAAAAGGCACGCGAGAAGAUUCCUGGACGGCUGCCUCCACUGCUCUGCUCGUCGUUCCACUCCACGCGAUGGAUCUCACUGUUCGGUCGUCCUGUUUGCUGAAAGCGAGACAAAGAGCACAGCCGGCCACGCCACAGAUGAGAUAAAAAAAAAAACUACUACCAGUACCACCGCUACGAAGCUCUCUACAUUAUCUAAUCCCAAAAACAGUCUAGGUACAAUGCAAAGGGAUGAGAGCGUGGCGUCCCGUGCUAUUUGCGGUUGCGCGUCCCUGUCGACGCGGAGGCCCGAUUAAACAAGACGACGAGUGCCACUGGACUGUGCCGGCGCGCAAGAAAGCGAGCCGCAGACGGUGAGGAGAGCCCCCGGUAUCCAGGAAAACCAGGGGUCCGCGCCCACCAAUUUCCGCCGCCCCGUUCCCGUCCCCGUCCCCGUCCCCGUCCCCGCCCGCCGGUACAUAUAACCCACCCGCUCCGGCUCGCCUCUCCACCUCAACACAGCACCACCAACCAAGCAACCUCACUCGCUACAAACAAGAAACAACAAGCGAAAGUUUUCUCUCGAGAGAGGAGGAGAAGACCAACACCGGGAGGAGAUGGCAGCAGCAGCAGCGACGAAGGCGUCGUCGUGGAUGGUGGCCAUGAGCGUGGGCGCCGUGGAAGCGCUCAAGGACCAGGGAGGCCUCUGCCGCUGGAACUACGCGCUGCGGUCCGUCUACCGGACCGCCAAGGCCAACGUGCGCAGCGGCAGCAGAAGCUUCGCCGCGCAGCGGGACAAGGACCUGGCCCCGGCGGCGGAGAAGGGGCGGCAGGACAAGGCCGCCGCGGAGGAGGGCUUGAGGACCGUCAUGUACCUCAGCUGCUGGGGACCCAAUUAACUAGCCUUUCGUAUCUUAGCUGGUCUUUGGCCUUCUUCAGCGACCGCGAGCUCGCGAGCUGAUUAUUGUAAAUAUACGACGAUGAUCGGAUGAUGAUGAUGAUGAAAAGUUCUGCCACUUCCGUUCGGGCGUUUUGGACUGUGUACGAUCGACUGACUUCUGAUCCUGUACAAUGUACUGGCGUGAAAUCUGAGAGCUUUGAGUCCACGAUUCCAAAUUCCAAGUAGACAGGAGGGAGGGUUCAUCGCAUACCGGCGUUGCAUUCCCUGUCCUUUUAGAUGAAGUUUAUGCUCAAAAUACAGUAUCUUAUAAGUUUGGUUCACAAUGUGCAUAUUCAGCAUCACACAGAUAUGACAGACAGAAGGCGGAUCUAUAGGGGGCAAAGUGGGUCAUCGCCCCGUCAAUUUUAUACACCUUUUAUGUCUUGAUUAAUAAUUAGUCGUCAAUUUUAUACACCUUUUAUGUCUUGAUUAAUAAUUAGUGUUAUGUCUAGGAAAAAAGUUAAAGUUUCAGAAAGUAUAAAGUCUUAUUCUAAACCUCUAAAAUUAAUAGCUAGUAGCUAAAAUUAGCUAAGAGGUUUACAAUAAAUCAACUAAUUAUUAUAUAUACCCCUUAAAUAAGUAUUAGUUAUUAGAUGCCCCAACCUAGCUAAAAUCAACUAACAAUUAGCUCUAAAGGUUUAGAACAUGGCCUAAAACAACCAUGUCAUGAGCCUUCUCGUCGGAUCCUCUGAGACAAGUCCUGCCAUCUAUGAGUCUGACCCUAAUUUUCUUGACACCAUCUAAACCAAUUUUUCGACGCCCCGGUUCCGCCGCUGACUCAUUCCCGAUGCGAUGUCGCCCGACUACGCCCCUUCCUGGCACCUUUGUCUCUUGUCCCGUUUUCAUUACGACGCCGAUCCGCUCGAUAAGCUAGAUCUCGUCUGUCCCGCCCCUUCCUGACACCUCUGUCUCUUGCCCCGUUUUCAUUACGACGCUGAUCCGCUCGAUAAGCUAGAUCUCGUCUGGGCUUUAUGAACCAGCAAGCCAUGGCUUUCAUGUGGUUAUUUUAGCCCCUCCAUAAAUUUUUGUCUUGCGUCCGCCACUGAUGACAGAUCAAAAUGGUCUAACUUGCGCUGUUUCUCGAUCGAUUUUUUCUCUCUCUUAAGCAAAUCUUAUCAACUUUUGAUUGGCCAUAGACACGUUCAUCAAGUGAUUUUACAAAUCUUCUUACCAGAUUUUUUGUAUGGCUAGGAGUUACCUGUUAAUAUGGUCGGAUAAGCUGAUAAGCAGCCGAAACUUGCUGUGACAACGGAAUAUGCGUCUACAAAAUUAUAUAGUUCUGAGUUUUAUUCACUAAGCUCCGAAUAAUCCUUGUUUCAGUAGGCGGCUGUCCUUUUGCUUUGGAUUUGUUGGAACGCUUUGAACUUGGUCAUCAGCGGUCAUCUCUUGCGAGUCAUUGACAGUCUUAAAGCCCAACUUAAUUAGGCUGUCGUAUUUUUUAAUGGAAAUUGUAUUUACUAUAUGCUGGUUCAGGUGGGCGGUUAGAAAUAAUAUUAGUAUCUUUAGAAACAUCUCCACGUCAGUACUACGACGCAACAAAUGAAUCUCUAAAACCAAGUUUGCUCUCCUUAUUCUAAGGGGAAGAAACAACCUUAAAUUAACUUAUGGCUAAAAGCUUAUGGUCUUCCUUAAAAAAUUUUAGUCUCUUAAAGUUUUGUGCUAGUUUUCCUACCCCUAUUAAUAAAAGCAUAGUAGGGGUAAAGCCAUCCUGUUUUUUUUUUCUUUAAAAAUUUUCCCUCGAUAAGGAUGCAAUAAGUUUCGUGUGGAUGCGGCCACUUGUGAGCGAAAAUUUGUGUUUGUCGCAUCACCAUGUGUUCACUUCUCGCUUAUCGUGUUUGUUGAUUGUAAAGCUAAUAUGAAUGCACAUGGGCCAGCUCAGGCUUGUCUAGGUGGUUUGCUCCCUAAUUGAAAAGAUUAGGGCGUGUUUGUAGCCAUGGCCCAGUAGCCUGGCUGCGCUUAGGCCUGCUAAUGGCAAAAAAAUCCAAUCUAUUCCCACCCAUACCCAAAUCUAAUUACUUUAAUAUUCAUCCCACACCCAACCAAAAAUACUAGAAGGAAGUUAAACCCAACCCAUCCAAUAACCAUUAUUGAUCCCAAACCAACCCGUUGGGUGGAAACCCAUGGAAAACCCGUGGAUUUAGCUUAUUGUCUCACAUCAAGCCAACUGCAUACACUCAUACACAAUGAUAAUUUUAGAUAGUUUCAGUGACAUAAAAAACAUAGUUGCAUACACGCUGAUAGUUUUUUUAACACUCGAUAAAGAGCUUCUUUACCGAGUGUCAAAAAUAUAACACUCGGCAAAGAGCUCUUUGCCGAGUGCUUUUUUCCAACACUAGACAAAGACAAUUUAAAAACCACAUUUUAAAGCAGUAAAUUAAUUCAAAUGAAAAAGUUUUCAACUACAAAUUUGUAUAACUCAUCAUGAUGUACAUUUUAUAUUUUGAACAUUUCUUCAUAUGAUAAACUAAAAAUAAAUUUGGUCAUAAAACCUAUAUCUCUCAUAGUUUAUAGAACUACGAGAGAUAUGUAUAGAAUUUGUGCAUAUUGUUAGAAUUAUCAUGUGAGAUGAACAAAUGAUCAAACAACCAAAAUAAACUUUGUAGAUCUUGAAAAGUUAUAGAAGUUUGUAGUUGACAACUUUUUCAUUUAAAGUCAUAUUGUCAACGAAAACUAUGUCUGAAUUUUAAAAAUUUAAAAUUUGAAUUUUGAAAACAACCUCGAAAGAAAAAACCACCAACAUGAAAGUUGUAGGUAUUGAAGAGUUAUGAAACUUUGUAGUUGACAAUGUUUUGGUUUGAAAUCAUCUUGUCAUGCAAAACUAUGUUUGAAUUUUGAAAUUUGAAUUUUUCAAACUACCUCGGAUGGAAAAACCACCAAAAUAAAAGUUGUAGGUCUUGAAAUGUAAUGAAACUUUGUAAUUGUGAACUUUUUUAUUUGAAAUCAUCUUAUCAUUAAAAAAUUCGUAUGAAGUUUUCAAAUUUAAAAUUUAAAUUUUGUAAACGGUCUAGAUGUAGAAACUAUUAAAAUAGAAUUUGUAGAUCUCAAAAAGUUAUGCAACUUUAUAGUUGGUCACAUUUUUAAAUAAAAUGGUACUGAUAAAAUGGUAUAGUAUAGUGUGCUGUGUGACUAAAGAAAUCAAAGACUUCUCUAAAUCUGAAAUAAAAUGGUACUGAUUAGGGUGGUAGUCUGAUUGGUGAAUAUCCAUGAAAACCCAUACCUAUACAAAUCCAUCUAUACCCAUGGGUAUUAACCAUUUUGACCCGCAAUAUAAAAUAAACUCACCCAACCCAACCCGUUAAUAAUUAAAAUCCAUCACAACCCACCAAAACAAAACCAUUUCUUAACCCACCUAAAAUACCCAUUUACACCCAACCCAUUUGCAGGCCUAGCUGCGCUCCCAUGUUUAUGUCACGUGGCUUGCUCAGGAGUCUGGUUGUGCGCAUGCAAAUUUAGCCUCUCAGUCUGGCUCCAUAGAAACGAGGUCAGGGUCCGUUUCCUGGGAGCCUGGCUGCUCGAGGCGUAAGGAUUCCGUGUUUAGCUAAUUUUAGUCUUCUAGCCCGACUGCAUAUUGGGUGAUAAACACCAGCUCGUCUGAACAAGACUCGUAUGGUACAAGUGCACAAACAAAGUGAGUUGCAGUAGCCGGAAUAAGCUAGUCUCAGUCUAAAUUAGUUGAAUGGGUCGAGCUGGCCAGGCACAGUAUCACAAACACGAGCCUGGUAACCUGGUACUCUACCUCCAUGCAGUGAGCCUCGGAUGAGAUCCGGAAAAGCGGGGGGCAGCUACCGAGUCACUGCCUCACUAGGCAUUGCGCGGCUACUGGGCGUGCAGUGCAGGUGGCGAGCGCCGACUGCCGAGUCGCCGCUCAUCAUACAACAUACCUCGGGAUCCGCAAGGUAUGCAGCAGUGCUUCGUGGCACUCCUAUCAGCAGCCACAUCAUUCGCAGCGAAUAAAUAAAAGCCGACGGGAUGGGGAAUGGAGACAAUUUCCCUGUGACAUCAGCCACAGGGCUAGUGGGCUGGUCGGAGAUCGACCUGCGCUAGCUACCUCUAGUCUGCUACCAACCGGAGCGGUGAGCCCCCGGUAUUCCUGGAAAACCAACGUCCGCGGCCACCUGUUUCGCCCGCCUCUCCCGGCCACCAGCCCACCACUGGCACUACACGAGUAUAUUAACCCACACCCACCACCUCUUCUCUGCACCUCAGCACAACACUCUCCCCAGCUCGAGUAACCACAGCGAGAACCAAUCGCCAAGCAAAAAGCCCGAGAAAGAAAGAACAAACAGGAGACACAGAUGGCGGCUGCAGCGAAGGCGUCGUGGAUGGUGGCGAUGAGCGUCGGGGCCGUGGAGGCGCUCAAGGACCAGGCGGGCCUGUGCCGCUGGAACUACGCGCUGCGCUCCGUCCACCGCGCCGCCAAGGCCAACGCUCCCAGCUUCGCGCAGGCCAGGAAGCUGGCGCCGCCCGCCGCGGACAAGGCCGCCGCGGAGGAGGGGAUGAGGACCGUCAUGUACCUCAGCUGCUGGGGCCCUAACUAGCUAGGGCCUCUGCUAGUUUCGGCUUCCUGCAACCGUACCGAGCUCGGCUUCAAAUCUGAUCCAUGACUGGUUGCCUUGCCGACCCACUGUAACAUAGGAGUAUAGCACCACGAUGAUGAUGAUGAAAAGUUCUGCCACUUGAUUUCAGUUCCUCAAAACUCUGAAUCCCUACGCUACUGUGCUGGCAUGGAAAUAAAAUGAAGAGUGCAUUUCUGUUCAUAAGAGCCUGUUGCGUUCCUACGGAACGGUGGCCCUAAGGAUUCUAGAUCGGAUUGUUUGCCUAAUUAAUAUAAGUAUCCAUAAAUUGGAAUGGAUCCUGGUUGCAUUCUG
rnacentral:lncRNA from 1 species